rnacentral:rRNA from 1 species
UACGUAGGAGGCGAGCGUUGUCCGGAAUCACUGGGUGUAAAGCGCGUGUAGGCGGCCUGCCAAGUCUGCUGUGAAAGCGCCUGGCUUAACCGGGCGAGGUCGGUGGAAACUGGCGGGCUGGAGGCUGGUAGAGGGGGGUGGAAUUCCCGGUGUAGUGGUGAAAUGCGUAGAGAUCGGGAGGAACACCUGUGGCGAAGGCGGCCCCCUGGGCCGGCCCUGACACUGAGACGCGAAGGCGUGGGGAGCGAACGGG